AUCUUCCUCCUUUUGCCCAAAACGAACGAACCCUAGUCUUCUGCAGUCCUCUUCGGUCGUCUCCGUCUCUCCACCGUUCUUCACCAACCCUAGUCUUCGUCGGUCUUCUUCUCCUUCUUCAAUCUUCUUCUCCGACAAGACUCGCAACUGUUCUUCUCCUUCUUGGGUCUUCUUCUCCGACUCGCUAACAUCUUCUUCUUUUUCUUCUUCUCUUUGAAUCUUUUAUCUUCUCAGUUUUAUUUUUCACGCAAUCGGAGGCUUGAGGAUCUGAGGAGUGUGAGAGCAACAUAAUCUUUGAAGUCGGCGGAAUCGUUAUUGCAUCUCUCUCACUGAUUCAUUUCUGACAAUUUCAUCGACUUCCAUGCUUGUAAGGCAUAAAAGGAUUUGUUGAAGACGAAUCCUGUUCUUGAGAGAGUUGAACUUGUCUCUCCUCCACAUCUAUCAUCCGCAGAGGCUCAAUCUCCAUUCAGACUUUAAGAAUUUUCAUGGCAGACCCGAGACAAACAAUGUCGCCAAAGUCAUGUCAAACCCAUCAAACUUUCGUUUUACCCCACCGCUAUAUCCUCAAUUCACGACUAAGGAGCCUAAUAUGAUUCACUUCAUGGAAGAAACUCAUUUAAAUAAGAAGACGCCCACAAUUAGCGAUUUGAAGACAAAACAGACGCCCACAAUAAGAGGAAGUUAGAGCUGACAAAUUCGCAACGCCAAGCUGAAGGAGAUGACGAGGUUCAGUCUAACUCUUACACGGAAGAGGAGAUUAACACUGUCAUGCUGGAAGUAAGUUAAAUUAUGUUAUAGUUUCCAUUUUGUUUAUGGUGUUCUUGUGUUCUCAAGAGUAGAUGAUUAGGUUUUAAAUCUUUAUAUUAGAAUGGAUUGUACAAUGAAUUUUAAUUUGUAUGGAGUUUAAUUUUAUAUUUAAUUUUAAGUUUCUUUUGAAUUUUAAA